UCCUCCAGUACUGUGUCUGCUAGAACACCACCAUGCUUCCUGCCAUAUGGACUAAACCUCUUGAAACUGUAUGAAAUAUCACUCUCACAUGAGACUUUGUAUUUGGGAUUCAGAACCUAAAGUUUUGAGCCAGUAUCACACGUGCGGACACCCCAGCCUCGGCCAUCAUCAGUACGGAAGAUGCAGAGGUCGUAGCGGAUACCUUUCUGGACCACACGGUUUGGGCAGUCAUAGCCACAGCAACAGCGGGAGUUGCACUCGUAAAUGGGCUGCCCAGCUUUCAGUCGCACCUGGCCUUGGUCAUUGUAGGCAAACUUGUGCAGAGAUGCUCCAGGGCAACAGCCUCCAGUGGGUGCCAACAGACAGUCCUGGCACUCACAGCCAACAGCUACCUGGUUGAGGGUGAUGCCUUCACCAACUCGAUACUCAUUGAUAUAGACAAAGGACCUUGGAGGGCCAUCCAGGUCUACCUCAUUCUCCACGGUGAUCCGCCCCAGGUGGCUGCGCUUGGCAUUGAGCUCUUGUUCCCAACGCUGUAGUGCCCGCCUCUGCUUGGCCUUCUGCACCAGGUAUUCAACUUCAAAGUCAUACAGAUUCUUCUUAGAAACACCAAGGGCAGGACAUGAAAGCUUAGCUAGUCGGCACAGAUCCUGCAGCUGAUUCCAGGAAGAUUUACAGCACACACUGCAACCUGGAAUGAGAAGGCCAA